rnacentral:rRNA from 1 species
ACUACAGCUUGGCACUGAACAUUGACCCUACAUGUGUAGGAUAGGUGGGAGACUUUGAAACGCAGACGCCAGUUUGCGUGGAGUCGUCCUUGAAAUACCACCCUUGUAGUGUUGAUGUUCUAACUUAGCCCCAUUAUCUGGGGUGAGGACAGUGCCUGGUGGGUAGUUUGACUGGGGCGGUCUCCUCCCAAAGAGUAACGGAGGAGCACGAAGGUGGGCUAAUCACGGUCGGACAUCGUGAGGUUAGUGCAAUGGCAUAAGCCCGCUUAACUGCGAGAAUGAUGGUUCGAGCAGGUGCGAAAGCAGGUCAUAGUGAUCCGGUGGUUCUGUAUGGAAGGGCCAUCGCUCAACGGAUAAAAGGUACUCCGGGGAUAACAGGCUGAUACCGCCCAAGAGUUCAUAUCGACGGCGGUGUUUGGCACCUCGAUGUCGGCUCAUCACAUCCUGGGGCUGAAGUCGGUCCCAAGGGUAUGGCUGUUCGCCAUUUAAAGUGGUACGCGAGCUGGGUUUAGAACGUCGUGAGAC